UAGGCCCUAAAUUAAGAUUGACGUUUGCUGUAGCUCUUGGUUUUAAACAGGAGCCAAGAAAUAUCUUCCUUUGGUUGCUUGGCUGUUCAGUAUCUCAGUGGAAAUGACCAGUUCAUUUAGAAGAAACAUAG
rnacentral:snoRNA from 1 species